rnacentral:tRNA from 1 species
UAGAAUGUGGUGUAUUUAGGUAGCACGAAGAAUUUUGAAUUCUUAGGAUUAGGUUCAAGUCCUGUGAUUCUAG